GCUGAGGAGACUAUGUUAUAUUGUUCAUGUACUAUAGAAUUUUUGUUGAAAAUAAGAUUAUGGCUGAAAUAUAAAGGAUUAUUUCUCCAUAUAAUUUGAUGGCAGGAAAUAUUGAAAUAAACUAUGGUAGAAACUCUGCUCGGGAGAAAAUGGAGGUAGCACUGCAUUUCCACAAAAUGAACUGCGGAUUGCAGAGAAAUUGUGGUAUAUGACAGACUCAUGAAAAAAGACUGGCCUGGUUCACAUUAAACGAUAAUAAUCUCCAGCCAACAAAGAAGCAGAAAUGGAAGGAAGAGUAUAAUAUCUUUCAGUUACUUACAACUGUAAGGAAGGACGUAGAUGCCUCUGGCACCUCCAGAGUCAGCGAUGAAUGAGUAGAAGAAAUUGGGAAAGAAAACUUGUAAACCAGCAAUUCUCCAACUUGGUAUAACUUGGUAUAAAUA